GACGAACGCUGGCGGCGUGCCUAAUACAUGCAAGUCGAGCGGAUGAAAGAGGAGCUUGCUCCUCCUGAUUCAGCGGCGGACGGGUGAGUAACACGUGGGCAACCUGCCCUGUAGAUUGGGAUAACUCCGGGAAACCGGGGCUAAUACCGAAUAAUCCUUCGGACCUCAUGGUCCGAUGUUGAAAGACGGCAUCUCGCUGUCACUACAGGAUGGGCCCGCAGCGCAUUAGCUAGUUGGUGAGGUAACGGCUCACCAAGGCGACGAUGCGUAGCCGACCUGAGAGGGUGAUCGGCCACACUGGGACUGAGACACGGCCCAGACUCCUACGGGAGGCAGCAGUAGGGAAUCUUCCACAAUGGACGAAAGUCUGAUGGAGCAACGCCGCGUGAGUGAAGAAGGUUCUCGGAUCGUAAAACUCUGUUGUGAGGGAAGAACAAGUACCGGAGUAACUGCCGGUGCCUUGACGGUACCUCAUUAGAAAGCCACGGCUAACUACGUGCCAGCCGCCGCGGUAAUAC
rnacentral:rRNA from 1 species